CUAUCUCCGGAAAAUCUGCAG
ensembl:piRNA 21ur-4319 ncRNA